AUUGAACGCUGGCGGCAUGCCUUACACAUGCAAGUCGAACGGCAGCACGGGAGCAAUCCUGGUGGCGAGUGGCGAACGGGUGAGUAAAGUAUUGGAACGUGCCCAGUCGUGGGGGAUAACGUAGCGAAAGUUACGCUAAUACCGCAUACGAUCUAUGGAUGAAAGCGGGGGAUCGCAAGACCUCGCGCGAUUGGAGCGGCCGAUAUCAGAUUAGGUAGGUGGUGGGGUAAAGGCUCACCAAGCCGCCGAUCUGUAGCUGGUCUGAGAGGACGACCAGCAACACGGGGACCGAGACACGGCCCAGACGCGUCCGGGUGGAAGCAGUGGGGAAUUUUGGACAAUGGGCGAAAGCCUGAUCCAGCCAUGCCGCGUGCAGGAUGAAGGCCUUCGGGUUGUAAACUGAUUUUGUACGGAACGAAAAGGUUUGGCCUAAUAAGCUGAGCUCAUGACGGUACCGUAAGAAUAAGCACCGGCUAACUACGUGCCAGCCGCCGCUGUAA
rnacentral:rRNA from 1 species